rnacentral:rRNA from 1 species
UCCGGAAUCAUUGGGUUUAAAGGGUCCGUAGGCGGCUUAAUAAGUCAGCGGUGAAAGUUUUUGGCUUAACCAAAAAAUUGCCAUUGAUACUGUCAAUCUUGAAUAUGUUUGAUGUGGGCGGAAUAUGACAUGUAGCGGUGAAAUGCUUAGAUAUGUCAUAGAACACCGAUUGCGAAGGCAGCUCACAAAGCCAUUAUUGACGCUGAGGCACGAAAGCGUGGGGAUCAAAC